ACGAUGAUGCCCAGCUUGCUGGGCGGAUUAGUGGCGAACGGGUGAGUAAUACGUGAGUAACCUGCCCUUGACUCUGGGAUAAGCCUGGGAAACUGGGUCUAAUACUGGAUACUACCUCUUACCGCAUGGUGGGUGGUGGAAAGGGUUUUACUGGUUUUGGAUGGGCUCACGGCCUAUCAGCUUGUUGGUGGGGUAAUGGCUCACCAAGGCGACGACGGGUAGCCGGCCUGAGAGGGUGACCGGCCACACUGGGACUGAGACACGGCCCAGACUCCUACGGGAGGCAGCAGUGGGGAAUAUUGCACAAUGGGCGGAAGCCUGAUGCAGCGACGCCGCGUGAGGGAUGACGGCCUUCGGGUUGUAAACCUCUUUCAGUAGGGAAGAAGCGAGAGUGACGGUACCUGCAGAAGAAGCGCCGGCUAACUACGUGCCAGCAGCCGCGGUAAUACGUAGGGCGCAAGCGUUGUCCGGAAUUAUUGGGCGUAAAGAGCUCGUAGGCGGUUUGUCGCGUCUGCUGUGAAAGCCCGGGGCUCAACCCCGGGUCUGCAGUGGGUACGGGCAGACUAGAGUGCAGUAGGGGAGACUGGAAUUCCUGGUGUAGCGGUGAAAUGCGCAGAUAUCAGGAGGAACACCGAUGGCGAAGGCAGGUCUCUGGGCUGUUACUGACGCUGAGGAGCGAAAGCAUGGGGAGCGAACAGGAUUAGAUACCCUGGUAGUCCAUGCCGUAAACGUUGGGCACUAGGUGUGGGGGACAUUCCACGUUUUCCGCGCCGUAGCUAACGCAUUAAGUGCCCCGCCUGGGGAGUACGGCCGCAAGGCUAAAACUCAAAGGAAUUGACGGGGGCCCGCACAAGCGGCGGAGCAUGCGGAUUAAUUCGAUGCAACGCGAAGAACCUUACCAAGGCUUGACAUUCACCGGACCGCCCCAGAGAUGGGGUUUCCCUUCGGGGCUGGUGGACAGGUGGUGCAUGGUUGUCGUCAGCUCGUGUCGUGAGAUGUUGGGUUAAGUCCCGCAACGAGCGCAACCCUCGUUCUAUGUUGCCAGCACGUGAUGGUGGGGACUCAUAGGAGACUGCCGGGGUCAACUCGGAGGAAGGUGGGGAUGACGUCAAAUCAUCAUGCCCCUUAUGUCUUGGGCUUCACGCAUGCUACAAUGGCCGGUACAAAGGGUUGCGAUACUGUGAGGUGGAGCUAAUCCCAAAAAGCCGGUCUCAGUUCGGAUUGAGGUCUGCAACUCGACCUCAUGAAGUCGGAGUCGCUAGUAAUCGCAGAUCAGCAACGCUGCGGUGAAUACGUUCCCGGGCCUUGUACACACCGCCCGUCAAGUCACGAAAGUUGGUAACACCCGAAGCCGGUGGCCUAACCCCUUGUGGGAGGGAGCCGUCGAAGGUGGGACUGGCGA
rnacentral:rRNA from 1 species